rnacentral:rRNA from 1 species
UACGUAGGGGGCAAGCGUUGUCCGGAUUUAUUGGGCGUAAAGAGCGUGUAGGCGGCCUGACAGGUCUGCUGUGAAAACUCGAGGCUCAACCUCGAGAUGUCGGCGGAAACCGUCUGGCUAGAGUCCGGAAGAGGAGAGUGGAAUUCCUGGUGUAGCGGUGAAAUGCGCAGAUAUCAGGAAGAACACCGGUGGCGAAGGCGGUCUGCUGGGCAGUAGCUGACACUGAGGCGCGACAGCGUGGGGAGCAAACAGG